rnacentral:misc_RNA from 1 species
UACAUGGACACAUACGCACACCGGUGAUCCAGCGCAAGGCAUCCACGGUCGCCGCUUAGAAUCGACAGACACUGAUAACGUGCGCUGUUCGGCAUAGUUGACCGUCUUGUCACCAUUCCUUAGACACGCGCACAUAGACGCAUGCAUACACACGCAUACACACAAGCAUCAUCGCCCUUCUUUUUCUUAGCGUGGCUUGCACGAGUCUGCGUAUCACGUACUGUGUCUGGUGCGUUGAAAUCACCUACUCACAGACGUUGUCGCUACCGUGGCUGCUGCUGCUGUUGUUGCUGCAGCAGCCGUUGUGGUGCUCGCUUACCGGGAGUCUCUCUGCGCAGCUCUUCACCUCGCCGUGUGCGUGCGUGUGCCCAGCACUGCUCAAGGUACCACCUUCGUCAUGCCCCGCGAAAUCGUGACAGUGCAGGUCGGCCAGUGUGGCAACCAGCUCGGCCAGCGCUGGUUCGAUGUCAUGCUUCAGGAGCACAAGGCUUACUCGCAUUUUCCCGAGGCCCGCGACGCUGUCUUCCUCGAGGACAUGAACCACCCCGGCAGACUUAAGGCGAGAUGUGUGGCGGUCGACAUGGAGCAGGGCGUUCUGCACGCAAUGCUGCGUGGCCCUCUGAAGGACAUCUUCGACGCUAACUUCUUCGUCUCCGACGUCAGCGGCGCGGGCAACAACUGGGCUGUGGGGCACAUGGAGUACGGCGACCGCUACAUCGACGCCAUCGCGGAGUCGGUGCGAAAUCAGGUGGAGCAAUGCAACUGCAUCCAGUCUUUCUUCUUGAUGCACUCCCUGAGCGGCGGCACCGGCUCCGGGCUCGGCACGCGUGUGCUUGGCAUGCUGGAGGACGAGUUCCCGCAUGUGUUCCGCAUUUGCCCGGUCGUCAUGCCAUCCGAGGUGGACGAUGUCGUAACGGCGCCGUACAACAGCUGCUUCUCGCUGAAGGAGCUGAUCGAGCACGCGGACUGCGUGCUGCCGCUCGACAACGACGCCCUGGCACGCAUGGCAGACCGCGCCCUCAGCAGCAGGCCCAAGGGCCGUGGCGUGAUGGCAUGCAGUGUGCCGCAGCCGCAGGCCUUCUCGGCAGCGAAGCCGACCGACACCAAGGGGCUUCCCUACGACUCGAUGAACGGGCUUGUGGCCCAGCUUCUGAGCAACCUAACCUGCGCUAUGCGCUUCCCUGGCCCGCUGAACAUGGACAUUAACGAAAUCACGACGAACCUAGUCCCAUUUCCACGGCUGCACUUCCUCACCGCUGCGAUCGCGCCGCUGAGUGUGUCGAGCAAGCACGCCGCCGUUGGGCCACGUACGGUGGAUGCGAUGAUCGCCGCAUGCCUGGACCCGGGGCACCAGUUCGUGGAUGUCCGUCACGGUCAAGGAAGCGCUGUGACGCGAGAGGCCGGCAAGACUCUAGCGACAUCGCUCAUCGCACGCGGCCCGCAGACAACCGUCGGUGACCUCACCCGCGGCGUCGGACGGCUGCGCGAGCAGAUGGAGAUGCCGUACUGGAACGAGGACGGCUUCAAGACAGCGCUGUGCGGGGUCAGCCCGCUGGGUCACAAGGAUUCCAUGCUGCUCCUCGCCAACAACUGCUCCAUUCGAAGCAAGGUCGAGUCGAUGCUCUCCAAAUACGAGCGUCUCUACUCGGUCCGCUCCCACGUGCAUCACUACGAUCAGUACCUCUCCGAUGCCUACUUCGUGCAUACAGUGGAGACGCUGCGCACGCUGGUGGACGACUACGCGUACCUGGACACGGCGGCGCCGCCGAAGGACUUGCCGCGCAGCAUGAAGGAUCUCAUCUACUACUAAGUCUGCCAUGCGCGCACGGUAGAAGGGAGAAAAAGGGGGCAGGGUGGGCUGGAGGAGGAGGAGAAGGAGCGGCUUGGUGGAGUCCGCCGCACAUCGCCUUCGCCGCCGUGGCGUCUUUUAGCUUCAUGGCGCCCCUGUACACUGCUGAUUGCCCAUGUGAAACAUGCAAGACG